rnacentral:rRNA from 1 species
UGUGCGCACUGCUCUCGCGAGCGAGUAGGCGGAUCAGCCCGCUCCCGGUAAAACGGGACGGCCCGCCAGAGGACCCCUAAACUCUGUUUCUAUAUGUAACUUCUGAGUAAAACCAUAAAUAAAUCAAAACUUUCAACAACGGAUCUCUUGGUUCUGGCAUCGAUGAAGAACGCAGCAAAAUGCGAUAAGUAAUGUGAAUUGCAGAAUUCAGUGAAUCAUCGAAUCUUUGAACGCACAUUGCGCCCGCCAGUAUUCUGGCGGGCAUGCCUGUUCGAGCGUCAUUUCAACCCUCAAGCACAGCUUGGUGUUGGGACUCGCGUUAAUUCGCGUUCCUCAAAUUGAUUGGCGGUCACGUCGAGCUUCCAUAGCGUAGUAGUAAAACCCUCGUUACUGGUAAUCGUCGCGGCCACGCCGUUAAACCCCAACUUCUGAAUGUUGAACGCGGAUGAGGUAGGAAUACCCGCUGAACUUAAGCAUAUCAAUAA